AGCACGGGCUGUGUGGUGUCACUGCUCCAUCUCUCGCGUUCUCUUGUAAUCCGGCUGAAGUGCAAUUCCAACAGGCCAAUAUUUUUCAGGGAACCAGGAACUUGGAAGCACGUCUGCGAAGCCCAAGCUCAUCUACUUCAGUGGAGCCGGUCCGAUGGCUGCUGGCAGCAGCCGGGGUGGAGUUUGAGGAAAUUUUUCUGGAUACAAGAGAGCAGUAUGCAAAGUUAAUCAAAG